AUGGCAACUGGCUACCUAAUUAGAAGUGACUGCACUGAUUUGAUGUCAAAAUGGAAUCAGCCAAAUGAUGGCCAGAGCUUGGAGGCUGAACCAGUGGAUUCAAUGAUUCAGAGAGGAAGUGUUACACAGAAACAUUAUUCAUAAUAACCCCCAAAUGGGAAAAACCCCAAAUUCUAUCAACUGGAUGAAUGGAUAAAUAAAAUAUGGUGUCUCCAUACCAUGGAAUAUUAUUAGGCAAUAAAAAGGAAUGAAAGACUAUAUAUGCUACAACAUAGGAAGAACCUUGGAAAGAUUGUGCUGAAUGAAAGAAGCCAAGCACAAAGUCUACCUAUUAUAUGGAUAUCAAGAAUAGGCAAAUCAAAUUCCUUUUGUAUCUGAUUGAGAUUCAAAUGUCUCCUUGAGACCAAGCAGAUGGGGAAACAGAGGCACAGCAAGCAGAGGGAACUUGUCCAAAGUCAUCAGGGCCCUGUCAAGCCAUGCACUUCCCUGUUGAGUGUGCCCUGCUUUCCAAACCCAGCAGGGAAAUUGCCCAACAGAGGAGAUGCCCACUGCCUUCAGGAGAUGGCUCAUCUGCUCUUCUCUGGAUUGUCAGGGAGGACAUGCCUAGACUAGCCCGUGGGUGCCAGGAGGAGGAUAAACGUCUCGUGGAACAGAACCACAUCAGCCCAACACCCUAGCCGAGCUGAGCCUCCAUCCGUCAAACCCCAGGCAGACCACAGUUGCAAGGGGAGCUUCCCAAGACUGGCAGAGCCACUCAGCGGAGACCAGCCUGUAUCACUUGGGUCUCAGUAGACCCACAGAUGUGGGAACUAAAUAAAUACUCUCUUUCCUCUGUC